rnacentral:rRNA from 1 species
GACGAACGCUGGCGGCGUGCCUAACACAUGCAAGUCGAACGGAACUGUUUUGAAAGAUUUCUUCGGAAUGAAUUUGAUUUAGUUUAGUGGCGGACGGGUGAGUAACGCGUGAGUAACCUGCCUUCAAGAGGGGGAUAACAUUCUGAAAAGAAUGCUAAUACCGCAUGACAUAUCGGAAUCACAUGAUUUUGAUAUCAAAGAUUUUAUCGCUUGAAGAUGGACUCGCGUCCGAUUAGUUAGUUGGUGAGGUAACGGCUCACCAAGACCGCGAUCGGUAGCCGGACUGAGAGGUUGAACGGCCACAUUGGGACUGAGACACGGCCCAGACUCCUACGGGAGGCAGCAGUGGGGGAUAUUGCGCAAUGGGGGCAACCCUGACGCAGCAACGCCGCGUGAAGGAUGAAGGUUUUCGGAUUGUAAACUUCUUUUAUUAAGGACGAAAAAUGACGGUACUUAAUGAAUAAGCUCCGGCUAACU